rnacentral:rRNA from 1 species
UACGAAGGGGGCUAGCGUUGCUCGGAAUUACUGGGCGUAAAGGGAGCGUAGGCGGAUAGUUCAGUCAGAGGUGAAAGCCCAGGGCUCAACCUUGGAAUUGCCUUUGAUACUGGCUGUCUUGAGUAUGGGAGAGGUUAGCGGAACUCCGAGUGUAGAGGUGAAAUUCGUAGAUAUUCGGAAGAACACCAGUGGCGAAGGCGGCUAACUGGCCCAUUACUGACGCUGAGGCUCGAAAGCGUGGGGAGCAAACAGGAUUAGAUACCCCGAGUA